UUGUUAUCAUCAGUUUUGGUUGCAAUUUUGAUUCAUAGGUCUUGCAUUUAGUAUAUUGUAGUGACAAUUUCUUCAAAACUUGUACAUGUGAAAGUUCAAAUGGUAUUUCAUUUGGUCAAGGAAUGUUUGUCUCAUGGUAUUAGUUCUUCUUUGUUUAUUUGGCCCAAUAAUCCAUCAGCUUGAAAUCCACAAGUAAUUCUUGUGUGGCAGACAGGAUGGUUUUCUACUGCCUUCUUCAAUUGAGGGACAUGGAAAAUAGAAUGUAUGCGUGCUGAAGAAUGAAAUUGUUGUUUAAAACCGGUGACAAUUUCUAAAAGUUAAUGAAUUUCUAAGAAUGCAUCAACUAUUUCAAUAUUUAUUUUCCCUCAUCAAGUGGCAUAAAUUUCUCUACAAAUAUGUUCAAUAUGUUCAAAAAAUAUUGUCAAACAAGAAAAGGUUAAUGUUGUCUUCAUGCCUCGUUGAGCUUACAAUGAAAGGUUUCAAAAGACCUACCGGCAUGUCCAACCUAUAAAGUUUUUGAGCAUCAACCUCGACCAAAACUAAAACACUACCUUAUUUCUCGCACAGCUGAAUCACAAAGUAUGUAAUUUUUUGUCCUUAUUACAUGUCUUCGGCAAGAGAAUCACACAAUUCUCCUCUUUUUGGCAUUGUUUUUCAUUUCCUCGAUGUUGUCUUCAUGAUUAAUAACGCUUGUUCCUUCUUGAACUUCUAGUGUGUUUUUAACAAACAUAUGCAAUCUAAAC
rnacentral:lncRNA from 1 species